rnacentral:rRNA from 1 species
CCUACGGGAGGCAGCAGUGAGGAAUAUUGGUCAAUGGACGAGAGUCUGAACCAGCCAAGUAGCGUGAAGGAUGACUGCCCUGUGGGUUGUAAACUUCUUUUAUAUGGGAAUAAAAUGUGCCACGCGUGGGAUUAUGUAUGUACCAUAUGAAUAAGGAUCGGCUAACUCCGUGCCAGCAGCCGCGGUAAUACGGAGGAUCCGAGCGUUAUCCGGAUUUAUUGGGUUUAAAGGGAGCGUAGGUGGAUUGUUAAGUCAGUUGUGAAAGUUUGCGGCUCAACCGUAAAAUUGCAGUUGAAACUGGCAGUCUUGAGUACAGUAGAGGUGUGCGGAAUUCGUGGUGUAGCGGUGAAAUGCUUAGAUAGCACGCAGAACUCCGAUUGCGAAGGCAGUUCACUGGACUGCCACUGACACUGAGGCUCGAAAGUGUGGGUAUCAAACAGGAUUAGAUACCCCAGUAGUC